rnacentral:lncRNA from 10 species
AGGGCCAAAUGACCCACCAGAAAAUGUGAACGUAUUUGUACAGAUGAGAUCACUGACUACAGCAAAGGAACUGCAAGGGAACUCAAGGGCUUGAAAAUACAUCAAAAAUAACUGGAAUGAAAAAGAGCACCAUCAUCUUGAACACAGCUUGGAAGAGAAAGCACAGAUGGAGGAAGACAGCGUCACGCCCAUCACCUGGCUCUUUCCUCAGAGAUGGCUGCCCCCUCUUUUAUACUUUCUGUACUGAACCUAGAAACAAUACCUUUUGCCAACUCAGAUGUGACAUUGUUCUUCCAGCUUCAUUUUACUUCCCAA